rnacentral:misc_RNA from 1 species
GUAUAUAUUAUAUAGGCACAACAUUCUAUUAACAUACAUUGGGGUAAAAUGAAGCAACAUAGACCUGAAAGGUCUACAAAAAGUGCACAGGUGGAGAUAUAAAGAUGACAAGGCGUGCACAUGCUCCCUAGAGAACCAGCAACAACCCAUCAGGUUUAUUUCAAUAAUGAUCCUUCCGCAGGUUCACCUACGGAAA